AUUGAACGCUGGCGGCAUGCCUUACACAUGCAAGUCGAACGGGCAGCACGGGGGCAACCCUGGUGGCGAGUGGCGAACGGGUGAGUAACAUAUCGGAACAUACCCUAGAGUGGGGGAUAACGUAGCGAAAGUUACGCUAAUACCGCAUACGAUCUAAGGAUGAAAGUGGGGGGAUCUUCGGACCUCAUGCUCAUGGAGUGGCCGAUAUCUGAUUAGCUAGUUGGUGAGGUAAAAGGCUCACCAAGGCGACGAUCAGUAGCUGGUUUGAGAGAACGACCAGCCACACUGGAACUGGAGACACGGUCCAGACUCCUACGGAGGCAGCAGUGGGGAAUUUUGGACAAUGGGGGCAACCCUGAUCCAGCAAUGCCGCGUGAGUGAAGAAGG
rnacentral:rRNA from 1 species